GACGGACGCUGGCGGCGUGCUUAACACAUGCAAGUCGAGCGGUAAGGCUCCUUCGGGAGUACACGAGCGGCGAACGGGUGCGUAACACGUGAGCAAUCUGCCCUUCACUUUGGGAUAACUUCCGGAAACGGAAGCUAAUACCGAAUACGACCACUUCAGGCAUCUGAUGGUGGUGGAAAGUUCCGGCGGUGAAGGAUGAGCUCGCGGCCUAUCAGCUUGUUGGUGAGGUAAUGGCUCACCAAGGCUUCGACGGGUAGCCGGGCUGAGAGGGUGACCGGCCACGCGGGGACGGAUACACGGGCCAGACUCCUACGUGAGGCAGCAGGGGGGAAUAUUGGUCAAUGGCCGAAAGCCUGAUCCAGCAACGCCGCGUGAGGGAUGACGGCCUUCGGGUUAUAAACCUCUUUCAGCGGGGACGAAGCGAAAGUGACGGUACCCGCAGAAGAAGCACCGGCCAACUACGUGCCAGCAGCCGCAGUAA
rnacentral:rRNA from 1 species